rnacentral:rRNA from 1 species
UACGUAGGGCGCAAGCGUUGUCCGGAAUUAUUGGGCGUAAAGAGCUCGUAGGCGGUUUGUCACGUCGGGGUGUGAAAGCCCGGGGCUUAACCCCGGGUCUGCAUUCGAUACGGGCAGACGUAGAGUGUGGUAGGGGAGAUCGGAAUUCCUGGUGUAGCGGUGAAAUGCGUAGAUAUCAGGAGGAAUACCGAUGGCGAAGGCAGGUCUCUGGGCUGACACUGACGCUCAUGCACGAAAGCGUGGGGGAGCAAACAGG